GGAGGACUCGCCUAGUGGCCUAGGGCGCACGCUUGGAAAGCGUGUUGGGGAAACCCUCACGAGUUCGAAUCUCGUGUCCUCCG
rnacentral:tRNA from 1 species